UACGGGGGGGGCAAGCGUUGUUCGGAAUUACUGGGCGUAAAGGGCUCGUAGGUGGCCAACUAAGUCAGACGUGAAAUCCCUCGGCUUAACCGGGGAACUGCGUCUGAUACUGGAUGGCUUGAGUUUGGGAGAGGGAUGCGGAAUUCCAGGUGUAGCGGUGAAAUGCGUAGAUAUCUGGAGGAACACCGGUGGCGAAGGCGGCAUCCUGGACCAACACUGACACUGAGGAGCGAAAGCCAGGUGAGCAAACGGG
rnacentral:rRNA from 1 species